rnacentral:lncRNA from 1 species
UCGGUACCAAUUAUAGCCAAAUUCACCAACUUAGUCUUCAACUUUAUUCUUCCCUUUGUCUAACCUCGAGUUUCGUACUUCUUGAUCUAAAAUAGUAAAUUUAACUUAUUUAAUAAUCACAUUCAUCAAAAUAGCCCUCGACUAUAACUUUUUCAAAAUUACAAUUUUGCCCCUAAACUUUUACAUAAUUACAUUUUUGCCCCAAGGCUCGGAAAUUAAACUUCAUCUCUUAUUCUUAUGUUUUAUAACAUUCUGAACAUUUUUCCCUUCUAUGGCAACAUCAAAUUCUAAUUUAAUCCCUUAUCAAUACUAAUUUUAUUUUUGCAUUCUAACUCUAUAUUCUCUCUUAAUUCUUACUAUAAACUCAGUUUAAUUCUUCAAUUUCCCCAUAAAUCCCUAAUUUCGGGAUUCUUUCAAUUUAAUUCCUAUCAAUUCAAAACUUAUGUUUUAUUUUACAAAUCAACCUUUUACUAACUUUUAACUUAAAAUUCAAUCAUUUUAACAUCUAAUUCAUCAAUUAAUUCAACAUGAACAACAUCUAAUAACCUACUAACUUCCAAAAUUUCCACUUAAAUCAAGUAGUAUUUUGCUCUAGGAUUCCAAAAAUAUCAAAACCAUAAGAAAAAGGGACUAAAUUGACUUACCAAUUGAAUUUAGAAGUUUUGAAACCCCUGAACCGUCGCUCUUUCUUUUUCUUCUUUCUCCCUUCUCUGUUUCGUUUUACUCUCUGUUUCUUUCUUUCUCAUUUCUAUUCUUUCUUUUGUUAUAUAUAUAUAAUAUAAUAUAAUAUAAUAUAAUAUAAAAUAUUAAUAAUAAUCAUUACUUACAUAUAUAUAAUAUAUAUAUAUAUAUUAACUAGAAUAUCUCAGAUAUUUCUUUCAUUAUGCCGCCUCACCUUUAGAAAAAGGCAUAAUUGCCUAUUUGGUCCUUUUAACUUUUCUUUAAUCUAUAAUUAAACUUUUAUCCCUAUUGCAAUUUAAUCCUUUUUCAUAAUUAACUAUCGAAACAUUAAAAUUUCUUAACAAAACUUUAAUAUUAUCCUAUUGACACUCCGUAAAUAUUUAUAAAAAUAUUUACGGCUCAGUUUA